rnacentral:rRNA from 1 species
UGAGGCGAACCGGGGGAACUGAAACAUCUAAGUACCCCGAGGAAAAGAAAUCAACCGAGAUUCCCCCAGUAGCGGCGAGCGAACGGGGAGCAGCCCAGAGCCUGAAUCAGUAUGUGUGUUAGUGGAAGCGUCUGGAAAGGCGCGCGAUACAGGGUGACAGCCCCGUACACAAAAAUGCACAUGCUGUGAGCUCGAUGAGUAGGGCGGGACACGUGGUAUCCUGUCUGAAUAUGGGGGGACCAUCCUCCAAGGCUAAAUACUCCUGACUGACCGAUAGUGAACCAGUACCGUGAGGGAAAGGCGAAAAGAACCCCGGCGAGGGGAGUGAAAAAGAACCUGAAACCGUGUACGUACAAGCAGUGGGAGCACGCUUAGGCGUGUGACUGCGUACCUUUUGUAUAAUGGGUCAGCGACUUAUAUUCUGUAGCAAGGUUAACCGAAUAGGGGAGCCGAAGGGAAACCGAGUCUUAACUGGGCGUUAAGUUGCAGGGUAUAGACCCGAAACCCGGUGAUCUAGCCAUGGGCAGGUUGAAGGUUGGGUAACACUAACUGGAGGACCGAACCGACUAAUGUUGAAAAAUUAGCGGAUGACUUGUGGCUGGGGGUGAAAGGCCAAUCAAACCGGGAGAUAGCUGGUUCUCCCCGAAAGCUAUUUAGGUAGCGCCUCGUGAAUUCAUCUCCGGGGGUAGAGCACUGUUUCGGCAAGGGGGUCAUCCCGACUUACCAACCCGAUGCAAACUGCGAAUACCGGAGAAUGUUAUCACGGGAGACACACGGCGGGUGCUAACGUCCGUCGUGAAGAGGGAAACAACCCAGACCGCCAGCUAAGGUCCCAAAGUCAUGGUUAAGUGGGAAACGAUGUGGGAAGGCCCAGACAGCCAGGAUGUUGGCUUAGAAGCAGCCAUCAUUUAAAGAAAGCGUAAUAGCUCACUGGUCGAGUCGGCCUGCGCGGAAGAUGUAACGGGGCUAAACCAUGCACCGAAGCUGCGGCAGCGACGCUGAUGCGUUGUUGGGUA